rnacentral:rRNA from 1 species
UACGGAGGGUGCAAGCGUUGUUCGGAUUUACUGGGCGUAAAGCGCGCGCAGGUGGAUGAACAAGUCGGAAGUGAAAUCUUGAGGCUCAACCUCGAGGCUGCUCCCGAAACUGUUCGUCUAGGGACUGGUAGAGGCUGGUAGAAUUCCCGUGUAGCGGUGGAAUGCGUAGAGAUCGGGAAGAAUACCCGUGGCGAAGGCGGCCAGCUGGCCAGGUCCGACGACUGAGG